UCAAGUUAUUAAGGGUGCAGGGCGGAUGCCUUGGCACUAGGAGCCGAUGAAGGACGUGAUAAGCUGCGAUAAGCUUCGGGGAGUUGCACGUAAACUUUGAUCCGAAGAUUUCCGAAUGAGGAAACUCACUUAGAGUAAUGUCUAAGUAUCAUUAAGUGAAUACAUAGCUUAAUGAGGGGAACUCAGGGAACUGAAACAUCUAAGUACCUGAAGGAAGAGAAAGAAAUUCGAUUCCGUAAGUAGCGGCGAGCGAACGCGGAUUAGCCCAAACCAAUAAAGUUUUCUUUAUUGGGGUUGCGGACAUAUCAUAACGGAGAGGUAUCGUAAUUGAAGAGGUUUGGAAAGACCCACCACAGAAGGUAAUAGUCCUGUAUGUUAAAUGAGAAGACUUUAGAUAUGAUCCAGAGUACCACUGGACACGUGAAACCCUGUGGGAAGCAGGAGGGACCACCCUCCAAGGCUAAAUACUACCUAGUGACCGAUAGCGUAUAGUACCGUGAGGGAAAGGUGAAAAGAACCCCGGGAGGGGAGUGAAAUAGAACCUGAAACCCUGCACUUACAAGCUGUGGAAGCACAUUUCUUGUGUGACCGCGUACUUUUUGUAGAACGGGCCAACGAGUUACGUUAAGUAGCAAGGUUAAGCACUUAAGGUGCGGAGCCGUAGCGAAAGCGAGUUUUAACUGAGCGUUCAGUUACUUGACGUAGACCCGAAACCGGGCGACCUACCCAUGAGCAGGAUGAAGCGAAAGUAAAAUUUCGUGGAGGUCCGAACCCACGAGCGUUGAAAAGCUCGGGGAUGACUUGUGGGUAGCGGUGAAAUUCCAAUCGAGCCCGGAGAUAGCUGGUUCUCCCCGAAAUAGCUUUAGGGCUAGCCUCAAGGUGAGAGAUACGGAGGUAGAGCACUGAAUGUCCUAGGGGGUAUUGCACCUACCGAAGACUAUCAAACUCCGAAUGCCGUCAUCUUAUACUUGGGAGUCAGACUGUGGGUGAUAAGAUUCAUAGUCGAAAGGGCAACAGCCCAGAUCGUCAGCUAAGGUCCCUAAAUGUAAGUUAAGUGGUAAAGGAUGUGGGAUUGCACAGACAACCAGGAUGUUGGCUUAGAAGCAGCCACUCAUUCAAAGAGUGCGUAAUAGCUCACUGGUCGAGUGAUCCUGCGCCGAAGAUUUCCGGGGCUAAAACUUACUACCGAAGCUACGGCAUCAGUAAUGAUGGGUAGGGGAGCUUCCCAUACGGGUUGAAGCAUGACCGUAAGGACAUGUGGACAGUAUGGGAGUGAGAAUGUUGGCAUGAGUAGCGAGAUGUGGGUGAGAAUCCCACAGGCCGUAAACCCAAGGUUUCCAGGGGAAGGUUCGUCCGCCCUGGGUUAGUCGGGACCUAAGCUGAGGCCGAAAGGCGUAGGUGAUGGACAACAGGUUGAUAUUCCUGUACUACCGAUAACCGUUUGAGAGAAGGGAUGACACAGUAGGAUAAGCUAAGCACACUGUUGGUUAUGUGUGCCCAAGCAUUGAGGCAGUCAAAGUAGGCAAAUCCGCUUUGAUAAUGCUGGGAUGUGAUGGGGAGCGAAAUUUAGUAGCGAAGUAGCUGAUUUCACACUGUCAAGAAAAGUCUCUAUCGAGGUUAAAGGUACCCGUACCGCAAACCGACACAGGUGGGUGAGGAGAGUAUCCUAAGGCCAGCGAGAGAACUGUUGUUAAGGAACUCGGCAAAAUGACCCCGUAACUUAGGGAUAAGGGGUGCCACCAUCAGGUGGCCGCAGAGAAUAGGCCCAAGCGACUGUUUACCAAAAACAUAGGUUUCUGCUAAGUCGCAAGACGAUGUAUAGGAGCUGACGCCUGCCCGGUGCUGGAAGGUUAAGGGGAUCUGUUAGAGCAAUCGAAGCAGUGAACUUAAGCCCCAGUAAACGGCGGCCGUAACUAUAACGGUCCUAAGGUAGCGAAAUUCCUUGUCGGGUAAGUUCCGACCCGCACGAAAGGCGUAACGAUUUGGGCACUGUCUCAACAACAGACUCGGUGAAAUUGUAAUUCCGGUGAAGAUGCCGGAUACCUGCGACAGGACGGAAAGACCCCAUGGAGCUUUACUGUAGCUUGACAUUGGGUUUUGGUACUACAUGUACAGGAUAGGUGGGAGGCUUUGAAACCAGGACGCCAGUUUUGGCGGAGCCAUCCUUGGGAUACCACCCUUGUAGUACUGGGACUCUAACCAUAGGCCAUGAAUCUGGUCUUGGGACACUGUCAGGUGGGCAGUUUGACUGGGGCGGUCGCCUCCC
rnacentral:rRNA from 1 species